GGGGCCGUAGGGUAGCUUGGUCCAUCCUUCCGGGUUCGGGAUCCGGCGACAUGAGUUCAAAUCUCGUCGGCCCCA
rnacentral:tRNA from 1 species